CCUACGGGAGGCAGCAGUGGGGAAUAUUGCACAAUGGGGGAAACCCUGAUGCAGCGACGCCGCGUGAGUGAAGAAGUAUCUCGGUAUGUAAAGCUCUAUCAGCAGGGAAGAAGAAAGACGGUACCUGACUAAGAAGCCCCGGCUAACUACGUGCCAGCAGCCGCGGUAGUACGUAGGGGGCAAGCGUUAUCCGGAUUUACUGGGUUUAAAGGGAGCGUAGACGGCUGUGCAAGUCUGAAGUGAAAGCCCAGGGCUCAACCCUAGGACUGCUUUGGAAACUGUGGAGCUAGAGUGCUGGAGAGGUAAGUGGAAUUCGUGGUGUAGCGGUGAAAUGCGUAGAUAUUAGGAGGAACACCGGUUGCGAAGGCAGCUUACUGGACAGUAACUGACGUUGAGGCUCGAAAGCGUGGGGAGCAAACAGGAUUAGAUACCCGAGUAGUC
rnacentral:rRNA from 1 species